rnacentral:lncRNA from 1 species
UCAUAUAUAAUAAAAUGUUUUCAAUCUUCUAUUUGCAGUUAGGAUUGAUGUGAACCCAAAUCUGGUUGGACAUUGGACUUGUACUAAAUAUCAAAGUAUGAGUGUUCCCAACAAAAGUAAUUUGGACAAAUUUGAAAAAACAGAAUGUGGAGAACAAAUAAUCCAUUAUGCAAAAGGUACAAAAAAUUUGAUUCUAAUUUCUAAAUGUGCUAAUUGGGCUUAAUAAGAUGAGGCAAAUAUCAUGCUUUGGUGCAUAAGCAGAUGUUAGCAUGUUGCACAUUAACUAUUGUAAUUCUGGUGAAAAGAAAACGUCAUUGUUCUAUGUGAAAAAAAAUACAAAUAACUAUUAUUGGAAUUCCCUUCUAAUUGAUGAUACCCGAGAACAGAUGGAGAUUAAUGUUUUGCAUACCAAUUGGAUAUAUCUUGAAGACUCCCACUAUCUUGAAGACUCCCAAAUCAAAAUAUGAAACAUGUUCUCAACAUGAGUAGUGUCAUAACAU